rnacentral:rRNA from 1 species
AUUGAACGCUGGCGGCAGGCCUAACACAUGAAAGUCGAGCGGAGUGGAGGACGGGCGAGUAAUGCCUAGGAAUCUGCCUGGUCGUGGGGGAUAACGUCCGGAAACGGGCGCUAAUACCGCAUACUAUCAGAUGAGCCUAGGGCGGAUUAGCUAGUUGGUGGGGUAAAGGCCGACCAAGGCGCCGAUCCGUAACUGGUCUGAGUGGAUGAUCAGUCACACGGGAACUGAGGCACGUUCCAGACUCCGACGGGAGGCAGCAGUGGGGAAUAUUGGACAAUGGGCAAAAGCCUGAUCCAGCCAUGCCGCGUGUGUGAAGUAGGUCUUCGGAUUGUAAAGCACUGUAAGUUGGGAGGCGUUACCAACAGAAGAAGCUCCGGCUAACUUCGUGCCAGCAGCCGCGGUAAUUC